rnacentral:rRNA from 1 species
UACGUAGGGUGCAAGCGUUGUCCGGAAUUAUUGGGCGUAAAGAGCUCGUAGGCGGUCUGUCGCGUCGGCUGUGAAAACCCGGAGCUCAACUCCGGGCCUGCAGUCGAUACGGGCAGACUGGAGUUCGGCAGGGGAGACUGGAAUUCCUGGUGUAGCGGUGAAAUGCGCAGAUAUCAGGAGGAACACCGGUGGCGAAGGCGGGUCUCUGGGCCGAUACUGACGCUGAGGAGCGAAAGCGUGGGGGGAGCGAACAGGAUUAGAUACCCUGUAGUCCACGCCGUAAACGUUGGGCGCUAGGUGUGGGGGCCAUUCCACGGUUUCCGUGCCGCAGCUAACGCAUUAAGCGCCCCGCCUGGGGAGUACGGCCGCAAGGCUAAAACU